GAAUAUUGGACAAUGGGCGCAAGCCUGAUCCAGCCAUGCCGCGUGAGUGAGGAAGGCCUUAGGGUUGUAAAGCUCUUUCACCGAUGAAGAUAAUGACGGUAGUCGGAGAAGAAGCCCCGGCUAACUUCGUGCCAGCAGCCGCGGUAAUACGAAGGGGGCUAGCGUUGUUCGGAUUUACUGGGCGUAAAGCGCACGUAGGCGGUUUGUUAAGUCAGGGGUGAAAUCCCAGAGCUCAACUCUGGAACUGCCUCUGAUACUGGCAAGCUAGAGUCCGGAAGAGGUAAGUGGAACUCCUAGUGUAGAGGUGGAAUUCGUAGAUAUUAGGAAGAACACCAGUGGCGAAGGCGGCUAACUGGUCCGGAACUGACGCUGAGGUGCGAAAGCGUGGGGAGCAAACAGG
rnacentral:rRNA from 1 species